UUAUUGGAUUAUAUGUGACUCAUUCUUUUAUUAACUUCUUUGCAGCAAGAAUCUAAAGUAAUAGAGUUUUUGUUUCCCUUCCAUGGGAACCAUAAACAGCUUGUCAUUGGCUGUAGCAGAUAUUACAUACACCACACUUGAUAGGUUGCAGACCUCUCUAUCACUCUCUCUCUAUCUCUCUCUCAUACAUCCAUACAAUAUCACAGACCAAAGUACACAGUACUGCCAGCACACAACAGCAGCAGUAACGAUACAAUUCUACAGCAGGAUACACAUCGCAUCUAAUGAUAAACUGGAACCUAUUUACUUAUCUUGGUCCCUUCCUCUCUGUGCAUUUAAUGCAAACAUAUUAAAUCAGCCAGACAAAUUCUAAAGGGAAAUAUGCUAAAAAUAUUAUAUUUGCUGUUUAUUCUGAAUGUCUCAGACUGCGUAGACUGGAUCUACAAUAUAAAAGAAAAUCAGCGUCCUGGAAUUUUUAUUGGUGACAUUGCUUUUGAUACAAACAUUUUGAGAAGUAAUUCAGCACAAGGUUCACAACAAACUGUCCUUUGGUUUAGUCAACUCCAGCAGGAAAUUUCUUCUACACCUCAGUUGUUUAAUAUUACCAAAACAGGGAAGCUUUAUACUGCUCAGAAACUUGAUGCUGAAUCUCUGUGUAAAUAUAACACUGAAUGUUUCAAAAUGGUGGAUGUUGCAGUACAAAAUAAAUUGUCUUUUGUUAAGAUAUUGGAGUUAAAAAUUAUUAUAGAAGAUGUCAAUGAUAAUCGACCAGAAUUUCCAGUUGAUGCCAAUAAUCUUUACUUUUCUGAAACAGAUGGAAGAGGUACCAUAAAAUCAAUUCCAAAUGCUAUUGAUAUUGAUGUUGGAGCUCAGAACUCCCAAAUCACAUAUCACUUAAAUGAAAACCUUAGUAAUUUAUUUGCUCUGUCUGUUAUUAAGAAGAUUGAUGGAACUGCAAAACUGGGAAUUUUUUUGCAGCAGAAACUUGAUCGAGAAAUAAAGGAUAGCUAUACAGUAGAAGUGAUCGCUAAAGAUGGAGGUUCACCUCCACUGCAAGGAAGCUUGAAUGUUCUGAUAUCUGUUACAGAUGAAAAUGACAACUCUCCUGUAUUUUCACAGAAUGUUUAUAACGUGUCAAUAAAUGAUGGUUAUUUUAAAGGCACUGCAAUCAUCCGUGUUUCAGCAACAGAUGUAGAUUCAGGCAUAAAUGGUAAAGUUUUCUUUAAAUUUGGUUCAAAAACUUCAAGUAAUCAUAAAAUGUAUUUCAAAGUACACAAAAAAAGUGGUGAAAUAUUUUUGCUUCAAAAACUUCCAGCAAGAGCCAAAAAGGUAUAUAAGUUGUUCGUUGAAGCUACUGAUGGAGGAAAUCCUCCUUUGAGUUCCACUGCCAUUGUUCUAGUCUAUGUCAUCAACCAACAGAACAAUGCCCCUGUCAUAGACAUGAACUUUAUUUCUCGCUCUAAAGAAAAUAAUGCAAUGGUGUCUGAAGCAAUCAAAGUUGGAGGAUUCAUUGCAUUUGUUAAAGUCACCGAUGAAGAUAUUGGUAGAAACAGUGAAGUAUCAUGUGACCUUCAGCAUGAAAAACUUCAGCUAAGAAGCCUUGGAAAAAACAAAUACAAAAUUGUUGUGAAGAAUUUAAUCAACAGAGAAACUGAAAGCUAUAUUGAAAGCACAAUAAUUUGUGAAGACAAAGGAUCUCCCCCUUUAAGAACUGAAAGAAAGUUUUCCAUCCAAGUGAAAGAUGUCAACGACAUACAGCCUCAAUUUACAAAAGAUACAUUCCAAUUUUUAACAUAUGAAAAUGAAGAGCAAAAUUUUCCUGUUGGCUUUGUUAAUGCUACAGAUGAAGAUUUGGGACCUGGUGGGCAACUGAGUUUUUCUUUAUUUAAUCAGAAUUAUAAUAUUCUUCCUUUUGUCAUUUCUGACUUUGGAUUCAUUUCAGCAACACAAUCUUUGGAUAGAGAGCAACAAGAUGUCUACAAGUUCAAAGUUUUAGUCAAAGAUAAUGGUACACCAUCUCUUAACAACACAGCAAAUGUGAUUGUUAAAGUUAUGGAUAAAAAUGACAAUGCUCCUUAUUUCACAUUUCCAAGUGUUAACCCUUUCAAUUUAGAAAUCCAUUACCAACCACAAAUGAAUACCGACAUCACAACACUAAGAGCCUCAGACAGAGACAGACAUGUAAAUGCAUUCCUCAGAUAUGAAGUAUAUAGAGGUAAUGACAAGCAGUUAUUUACAGUCAAUCCUUAUACAGGAGUUUUGUCUUUUUCUCGCCCAGUUUAUCAAAAUGAUGCUGGAUCUUAUGUUUUAAAAUUAGCCGUCAAAGAUGGUGGUACACCAAUUUUAUCCGCAACAACUAUACUGUCUUUGGCACUAACUGUUAGCAAUACAACAGCGAUAAUGUACACAGCUGAAGACACAGAAACAGACAAUAGAAUACAUAUUAAUUUGAUGAUUAUUAUAGUAGUAGCAGCAGUUAUAGUUUCUGUUGCUAUUGUAGUUUCAAUUACUGUAUGUAUUCUUCGUAAGAAUAACCAAAGAGAUGUCCAAUAUAGUUGUCGAGUUGAUGACUCUAACAACUACUUGGGAGAAAAUGCUCUCUCUGAAUACAACUCUGAACAAAUAUCUCAUGAUGAUAUGCCUGUUACAGUUGAAUCCUAUGCAAGCAAUCAGAGAAAUGGUCCAACUCUCUUGCUUCGAAGAGAUCCUCAUUCAAAAUAUGAAUCUAGUCAUGAGUGGAAAGGUCCAGUAUCAGGAAUACAACCACAGAAUGUCAUACAGGAAUCUCUUCAGGCAUUUGGCUGCAGCCAUGCUGGAGCACUGCCUUUAGUCGAGCAGAUUGACCCCAGGACAUAUUCUUUGAAGCAACAGUACUGUCAGUUGUAGACACAGUAGAAGAUCAUGUGAUUAUUUCACGUGAACCCUUUACUGAGAUGUCUCGAACUGACAGUGGACAUGGCUCAAGUAUGGAAAGCACAGGAUAUUACGAGGAACUCCCAUGUCAGCUGGAACAGGUCUUCAACAUAGAUAACGUUUGUUUAUCUCAACAGCCUAUUACUAAUCAAAAAAGUAAUUUCAAAGAUUGUAACGAUGCAAAAAUAAUCCGAGUAAACAGCCCUAGUUCAUCAUUGCUGUGGAAUCUUCCCAUGAGGAACAGUUUUAAUGUUUACCCUAAAUCUCUACCAUCAGUACCAAAAGCACCCAACACAUAAAAAAAAAAAGUGAAAGAGA